CACAUCCUUGGACUUUGGUUUCCUCUAGGAAGAUGUGUUGGUUUGGCUCAGGAAGGCCAAGAAGGAGACUGCCUUCCUCAACUUCACUUUGAGCCCCUCAAGAUGCUGCUCCUACCCUGAAAGUUUGGAUCUGGAAUCCCAAAGACCCAUGUGCCAGAAUCUUGAUUCUCCCUCCAUCUCAAUGUCAUUGGGAAGGGGUGGAAAUUUUAGGAGUAGCAGAAGGUUUGAGGAUGGGCUGCCUAACCAUAACCAUGGGACCCAAAUCAACAAGAUCAAAUGAUCACAGAUUGAAACCUCCCAAACCGGGAGAUCGAGAAACCUUCCUCCUUGUCCUCACCUUCUUCCUCUUCCCUCCUUUAAUUAAAUAAUAAAGCAUUUAUUGAUUUCCAUACAGUCCAAUCACUUCUACACAAAUAGCCUCUAAGUAGUACACAGCUUCAAAGGAUUGUGAGCUAACACCCUAGUCAACAGACCUCAGGAUAUCUGCCCCUCUGCUCUCAACUACCCCCCUCUCCUCCCAUCACUCUUUGAACACUUACUGGCCCUGGGGGGGGGGGAAGACCUGUGUUUAUAGGACCAUGAGUAGCUUCUAUCUAAGCUCAAAUGAGCAAAAGUAGGAAUAUUUCCAUAAAAUAAUUUGGGGAAAUGGAACUGAGCAUUACAAAUCACAGCAGACAGCCUUAGAGUUGGGAUUCUUACUGCCAUCAUUAGCUUCAGAUGACAGCCUGACACACCUGGAAAGAAGGAACCUCAACUUAAAAAACUGACUCCACCAGAGUGGCCUGUGAGCAUCUCCGUGGGCAUCUUUGUGACUCUUGGUUGAUGAAGGAGGACUCAGUCCACUAUGAGAAGUACCAUCUAGGCCAUGUAAGAAAGAGCUGACUUUGGCUAUGUGACGUCUUUGUGACUCUCGGGUGAUGAAGGAGGGCCCAGUCCACUAUGAGAAGUACGGUCUAGGCCGUGUAAGAGCUGACUUUGGCUGUGUGACGUCUUUGUGACUCUCAGGUGAUGAAGGAGGGCCCAGUCCACUGUGAGCAGUAUGGUCUAGGCCGUGUAAGAAAGAGCUGACUUUGGCUGUGUGACGUCUUUGUGACUCUCGGGUGAUGCAGGAGGGCCCAGUCGACUGUGAGCAGUACGGUCUAGGCCGUGUAAGAAAGAGCUGACUUUGGCUUUGGAAUCAAGCAAGUGACACUGCUUCUUCAUAUUCUUCUGUUUCAGCUCCUGCCUCUGGGCUCCUGCCUUGGCUUCCCUCAAUGAAGGACUGCUAACCUGUAAACUGAAAUACCCUUCCCAGGUUACUUUUGGUCCUGCCAUUUUGAUCCCAGCACAGCAGACAAACUAGACUGCUUCAGAAACACCUUGCUUUUGCUUCAUGUGACUGUUAAGUAUGAAAUACAAUUUAUGCCAGAGUAGGAUCUCCAUGCUUCAUCUUGCACUUAACAGCUAUGGUUGACUUCACAUGGAAUCAGAUCUGCAGAUUCACUGCCCUGUAUUGUUUGAGGGCUGUAAAAGUUCAGCCUGCUGAUAGGAUAGCAAUAAUCAUGCAACAGCAACAACAAACCAAGAAACUCUUUGGCCAAGGAAAAUGUCAGCUUUACCUUAAAAGCAUGAACUCUUUGCAGAAGGAUCAACCACUAAAAAAGGAGGCCCAAUUCUUUCGACUGCAAAUUGCUGCAUUACUCUUUUCUGAAGGCAAUAAGUCAAUAAACUCCUCCAACAAAAGUCCUUAA